GUAGUUAGCCGGGGCUUUCUUACAGGGUACCGUCACUUCUUCGUCCCCUGCGACAGAGGUUUACAAUCCGAAAACCUUCUUCCCUCACGCGGCGUUGCUGGGUCAGGCUUGCGCCCAUUGCCCAAUAUUCCCCACUGCUGCCUCCCGUAGGAGUCUGGACCGUGUCUCAGUUCCAGUGUGGCCGAUCAGCCUCUCAGCUCGGCUACCCAUCGUCGGCUUGGUGGGCUGUUAUCUCACCAACUACCUAAUGGGACGCGAACCCCUCUAAAAGCGAUAAAUCUUUGACCUCUUCCCGAUGCCGGGUUGUGGUCUUAUGCGGUAUUAGCAGUUGUUUCCACCUGUUAUUCCCCACUCUUAGGCAGGUUGUUCACGCGUUACUCACCCGUGCGCCACUAGAAUUAUCAAUUCCAUCCGAAAACUUCCUUAAUAAUCCCCGUUCGACUUGCAUGUGUUAGGCACGCCGCCAGCGUUCGUCCUAAGCCAGGAUCAAACUCUGA
rnacentral:rRNA from 1 species